rnacentral:tRNA from 2 species
GAGGCCUUAGCUUAAUUAAAGCAUUUGAGUUGCAAUCAGAAGAUGUAAGUUAGAGUUUUACAUGCCUUG